GACGAACGCUGGCGGCGUGCCUAACACAUGCAAGUCGAACGGAGAAUUAGCAAUAAUUCUUAGUGGCGAACGGGUGAGUAACGCGUGAGCAAUCUGCCCUUCAAAUGGGGACAACAUUCCGAAAGGGGUGCUAAUACCGAAUACGAUCUUGGGUCUGCAUGGACUUAAGAUGAAAGAUGGCCUCUAUUUAUAAGCUAUCGUUGAAGGAUGAGCUUGCGUCUGAUUAGCUAGUUGGUGGGGUAAUGGCCUACCAAGGCGACGAUCAGUAGCCGGUCUGAGAGGAUGAACGGCCACACUGGGACUGAAACACGGCCCAGACUCCUACGGGAGGCAGCAGUGGGGAAUCUUCCGCAAUGGACGAAAGUCUGACGGAGCAACGCCGCGUGAGUGAAGAAGGCCUUCGGGUUGUAAAGCUCUGUUUUUAGGGAAGAAUGUGCGAUGUGUGAAUAAUGCAUUGCAAUGACGGUACCUAAAGAGGAAGUCACGGCUAACUACGUGCCAGCAGCCGCGGUAA
rnacentral:rRNA from 1 species